GGGCCCGCACAAGCGGUGGAUUAUGUGGAUUAAUUCGAUGCAACGCGAAAAACCUUACCUGGCCUUGACAUGUACCGAAUUUAGCAGAGAUGCUUUAGUGCUCGUAAGAGAACGGUAACACAGGUGCUGCAUGGCUGUCGUCAGCUCGUGUCGUGAGAUGUCGGGUUAAGUCCCUUAACGAGCGAAACCCUUAUCUCUAGUUGCCAGCGGGUAAUGCCGGGGACUCUAGAGAGACUGCCGGUGUCAAACCGGAGGAAGGUGGGGAUGACGUCAAGUCCUCAUGGCCUUUAUGUCUAGGGCUGCACACGUCCUACAAUGGUACGGACAAACGGACGCGAAACCGCGAGGUGGAGCAAAUCCUAGAAACCGUGCCUCAGUUCGGAUUGCAGGCUGCAACUCGCCUGCAUGAAGCCGGAAUCGCUAGUAA
rnacentral:rRNA from 1 species